AGAGAGCUGCCGUGUCUUUAAGACACGCAAACAGCCCUGUGGCGAGGCCCAGGAGGUGAGGAGCUGAGGCCUCACUCCCAGAGCUGCCAUCAACUUCUCAGCAACAUCAAGAGAUCCCCAAACAGCACUGCCCAGUCAAGCUGUUCCUGAAUUCCUGACCCACAGAAACUAGGUUUCUUCCUUCCUUACCAAUAAGACGUCCUACAAAGUUAUUAUGGGCUAAAAUCUUCAAGGGAAUCUCUUCUGUGCUGUAAAGAAAGAAAAAAACAAAGCAAAAAAAAGGGCCAUCAAAUCAGGGCCUGCGAGCAUGUUAAUGGAUGAAAUCAAGUGCUGGCAAGAGGAUGCGCAUCUGGGCAUGGCCACCCUUCUGGUUCGGUGCAGAGUACAGAGCAAACCGCCAGGACCUAUCAGAGCUGAGCU